AACUUACCACCUACUGUAUCUGCUUCUGAAAUUGAGGAGGAAUUCAAGAAUUUUGGUAAACUCAGUGAGGAGGGUGUGGUCGUUAGAAGUCGUAGGUUCAUGUCCUUUGCACCUUAUUGAACUGUUUUACUUCAUUAUAGUGUUGAAGCAAGUAAAGCAGAGAUGCAGAGAAGGUGUUUGGCAGAAUGCCUCUAAGAGUAUUUGAUUUUCACGUGAUUCUUUCAUACAUGACUAUUGUGCCUUUACAACUUUAUAUAGACAGAUACAAAAUAACUAAGUCAUCCAACCAAUGAUGGACAGCUGUAAAUGGAAUAUUCUAACAGACUUGCAUAACUUAUUCUAGACUAUUCUUGAAUGGAAUUGAUCCUCUGUUGGUGCUGUUGAUACUCUCUUUGCUUUCAGCCACUGAUAUUGAUCCUGAUGAUGAUGCAGGAUUCUUUUCCUUGACAUAUAGCAUCGACUUAUAUGAAGCUAAAUGCUUAUCGUGUGCAGGAGAUUGAAUUCCAUGGAUAUAAUAGCAUUUCAAUUCUACUAAAUUCCAUGGAUUUUUUUUCUUUUGUUUGCUGAAAUUCCAUGGAUUUUAGUUUCGGUCUUUGAUACUUGAUGACUUUAUUUGGAUGCUUGAUAACUUUUAUUUAUAGGCUUUCAUGCAUAACUUUUUUCUUUUGUUUGCUGAAUAAAGUGAAGAUGCUUGAUAACUUUUUUUGGAUGUAGGGAUAUUGAUUUUGCCAAUUCAAUACUUCUGACUGCUGUUUGCUUUUAAUACAAUCUAGUUGGGAUGAUUCCAUAGCUCAAUCCAAAAUCCAAAUCUCAGUAGCAUAAAUAUAAUCUAGUUGGUAUUUAGUGUGGAAAGAGUUUUCUUUCUUUGUUGGUGUUUGAUUUUAGACUAGGUUCAAAUGACAUGCUUUCUUACAAUUUACAUUAAGCAAAUACUUUUUCCAAUGACCACUCCUCUCAUUAGCAUUCUCAGUUUUAGUGUGAUGGGGGGAAGAGGAAGAUGGAAUGCCACCCAGGCCUUCGACAUUGACUUCAAUCCUUGAAACAGUUCAUGUGGACUGAAUGUAAUUCUGAAGCAUCAAUUACAUGUCCAGCGUACAAAGUUGAUGUUUUUCUUCUUCUUUGCUGCCAUUUCUUUGAUUUUGGGACGUGACGAGGUGGGGAUUUUUUGGAUCCAUAUAGUGGAAGGUGCCGCAUGAAGUGUACUCCGCAGACUGUAAGGCUAUCAUCUCUAUGUCAGAGAUUGGGAGCUUGGAGGAGUUGAAUCCGUUGUGUUGGAGAAAGCUCAGAAAUGGCAGUGUGAGUUGAUGUGGAAUUUCAAAAGCACUUUUGCCGUUUGGUUUAGAGGUGUUUCCAAUGUUUAUAUAAUCUCAUUGGUUUGUAGGCGUUCAGAUUUGUGUAUGGAUUUUGUGUAUGGGCGGGUUGUGGAGACCCUGUGUUGUGAUUCCUAAAGUGUACAUUUGCUUUUGUGCCACGAAAUCAUGAAUGGAAGAGAGGUGUCAGACAAUACAUUCAAUGGAAAGUUUCCUUUUGCUUUAUUUGGACCUUAUAUAUGGAA